GUAUUAAAGGUCCCGCCUGCCCAGUGAAACUUUUAACGGCCGCGGUAUUCUAACCGUGCAAAGGUAGCGUAAUCACUUGUCUUCUAAAUAAAGACCAGUAUGAACGGCUAAAUGAGAACAAGCCUGUCUCUUAUAACUAAUCAGUGAAACUGAUCUUCCAGUACAAAAGCUGGAAUAAACACAUAAGACGAGAAGACCCCGUGGAGCUUAAAACUAAGCACCAACUACACUAUGCCCUGGUGCCCUGUUUUGAGUUGGGGCGACUUCGGAAUAAAAUAAAACUUCCGAGCACAGAACCACCAGUUCGAGCUAAGGCCAACAAGCCCAGGCACAAAACUGACCCGGCCUCCGCCGAUCAACGAACCAAGUUACCCCGGGGAUAACAGCGCUAUCUUCUUCAAGAGUCCCUAUCAACAAGAAGGUUUACGACCUCGAUGUUGGAUCAGGACACCCCAAUGGUGCAGCCGCUAUUAAAGGUUCGUUUGUUCAACGAUUAAC
rnacentral:rRNA from 1 species